ACGAACGCUGGCGGCAUGCCUAAUACAUGCAAGUCGAACGAACACUUCGGUGUUAGUGGCGCACGGGUGCGUAACGCGUGGGAAUCUGCCCUUGGGUUCGGAAUAACUUCGGGAAACUGAAGCUAAUACCGGAUGAUGACGUAAGUCCAAAGAUUUAUCGCCCAAGGAUGAGCCCGCGUAGGAUUAGCUAGUUGGUGAGGUAAAGGCUCACCAAGGCUACGAUCCUUAGCUGGUCUGAGAGGAUGAUCAGCCACACUGGGACUGAGACACGGCCCAGACUCCUACGGGAGGCAGCAGUAGGGAAUAUUGGACAAUGGGCGAAAGCCUGAUCCAGCAAUGCCGCGUGAGCGAUGAAGGCCUUAGGGUUGUAAAGCUCUUUUGCCCGGGAUGAUAAUGACGGUACCGGGAGAAUAAGCCCCGGCUAACUCCGU
rnacentral:rRNA from 1 species